UACAGAGGUGGCAAGCGUUGUUCGGAAUUACUGGGCGUAAAGGGCGCGUAGGCGGCCUACUAAGUCAGACGUGAAAUCCCCCGGCUUAACCUGGGAACUGCGUCUGAUACUGGAAGGCUUGAGGAUGGGAGAGGGAUGUAGAAUUCCAGGUGUAGCGGUGAAAUGCGUAGAUAUCUGGAGGAACACCGGUGGCGAAGGCGGCGUCCUGGACCAAUACUGACACUGAAACGCGAAAGCCAGGGGAGCAAACGGG
rnacentral:rRNA from 1 species